rnacentral:rRNA from 1 species
CACCACCGGCGGACGGCUCAGUAACACGUCGGUAACCUACCCUCGGGAGGGGGAUAACCCCCGGAAACUGGGGCUAAUUCCCCAUAGGCCUGAGGUACUGGAAGGUCCUCAGGCCGAAAGGGACUUAUGUCCGCCCGAGGAUGGGCCGGCGGCCGAUUAGGUAGUUGGUGGGGUAAUGGCCCACCAAGCCGAAGAUCGGUACGGGCUGUGAGAGCAGGAGCCCGGAGAUGGACACUGAGACACGGGUCCAGGCCCUACGGGGCGCAGCAGGCGCGAAACCUCCGCAAUGCGGGAAACCGCGACGGGGGGACCCCGAGUGCCGUGGCAACGCCACGGCUUUUCCGGAGUGUAAAAAGCUCCGGGAAUAAGGGCUGGGCAAGGCCGGUGGCAGCCGCCGCGGUAAUACCGGCGGCCCGAGUGGUGGCCGCUAUUAUUGGGCCUAAAGCGUCCGUAGCCGGGCCCGUAAGUCCCUGGCGAAAUCCCACGGCUCAACCGUGGGGCUUGCUGGGGAUACUGCGGGUCUUGGGACCGGGAGAGGCGGGGGGUACCCCUGGGGUAGGGGUGAAAUCCUAUAAUCCCAGGGGGACCGCCAGUGGCGAA